GUGGGGAAUUUUGGACAAUGGGCGCAAGCCUGAUCCAGCAAUGCCGCGUGCAGGAAGAAGGCCUUCGGGUUGUAAACUGCUUUUGUACGGAACGAAACGGUCCGGGUUAAUACCCUGGGCUAAUGACGGUACCGUAAGAAUAAGCACCGGCUAACUACGUGCCAGCAGCCGCGGUAAUACGUAGGGUGCAAGCGUUAAUCGGAAUUACUGGGCGUAAAGCGUGCGCAGGCGGUUUUGUAAGACAGGCGUGAAAUCCCCGGGCUCAACCUGGGAACUGCACUUGUGACUGCAAGGCUAGAGUGUGUCAGAGGGAGGUGGAAUUCCGCGUGUAGCAGUGAAAUGCGUAGAGAUGCGGAGGAACACCGAUGGCGAAGGCAGCCUCCUGGGAUAACACUGACGCUCAGGCACGAAAGCGUGGGGAGCAAACAGGAUUAGAAACCCGAGUAGUC
rnacentral:rRNA from 1 species